UGGGGAAUUUUGGACAAUGGGCGAAAGCCUGAUCCAGCCAUGCCGCGUGAGUGAAGAAGGCCUUCGGGUUGUAAAGCUCUUUUAGUCGGAAAGAAAGAGUUGCAAUGAAUAAUUGUGAUUUAUGACGGUACCGACAGAAAAAGCACCGGCUAACUACGUGCCAGCAGCCGCGGUAAUACGUAGGGUGCGAGCGUUAAUCGGAAUUACUGGGCGUAAAGGGUGCGCAGGCGGUCUUGCAAGUCAGAUGUGAAAGCCCCGGGCUUAACCUGGGAAUUGCGUUUGAAACUACAAGACUAGAGUGCAGCAGAGGGGAGUGGAAUUCCAUGUGUAGCAGUGAAAUGCGUAGAGAUGUGGAAGAACACCGAUGGCGAAGGCAGCUCCCUGGGUCGACACUGACGCUCAUGCACGAAAGCGUGGGGAGCAAACA
rnacentral:rRNA from 1 species